AGAGUUUGAUCCUGGCUCAGGAUGAACGCUAGCUACAGGCUUAACACAUGCAAGUCGAGGGGCAGCAUGAACUUAGCUUGCUAAGUUUGAUGGCGACCGGCGCACGGGGUGAGUAACACGUAUCCAACCUGCCGAUGACUCGGGGGAUAGCCUUUCGAAAGAAAGAUUAAUACCCGAUGGCAUAGUUCUUCCGCAUGGUAGAACUAUUAAAAGAAUUUCGGUCAUCGAUGGGGAUGCGUUCCAUUAGGUUGG
rnacentral:rRNA from 1 species